ensembl:lncRNA
CAUUGGCGCUGGACACGGUAACUCCAGCCUGCGGAGGCGAGGUGUCAACUAAUGAUUUUUAUGUUAGAAAUAAUUAAUUGCAUCCAGGCAAUCUGUCGAGGAGAGGCAAAACAUCACCUUAAAUUGACAACAGUUUCCAUAACAACAAAAAAAUUACCCAUUUUCUUAAGACGGUUUGCGAUUUACGAUGUUACAACUGUUUUGACAUGACUUAAUAUGAAAACUAUAAGUGGCACCAUCUCUAGUUCUAAAGUUGUUGAAUAGCCGAGUUUGUUUAGUAAUAAUGGUAAUUGUGCAAGGGCUAGUCAAGCUUCAUAUAGAUGAUAACAGACAAAUCCGUUUCAGAGUAAGACAAAAAGGACACUUAAACAUGCAAAUGAUCCCCUUCCAGUCAGUGCCAUGCUCAAGGACAUAAAUGGAACCUGGGGAAGUCAGGCCUGCGCGUCUCCUGUUUGGGGCUUGGGACUUGGGUAACCUUCGGUGGGCAGAUUUCUGAUGAGGUGGCUGAGCAGCUGAUGACAAUAGCCUACGAGAACGGGGUCAAUCUCUUUGACACUGCUGAAGUGUACUCUGGAGGAAAGGCUGAAAUAAUCCUCGGAAACAUCAUCAAGAAAAAGUGCUGGAGGUACUUUAUCUUUGAUUCUCAUGUGUGCGUUUGUGUGGUUAGAGUGUAAGUCUGACUAUAUUUUUUGGGGAUAUUUUUUUUAUAUCUUUAGGGAUUUAUUUUCUUUUUACUGUGUGCAUGUGUGCUCUUGAAAUGUUAGCUGACGGAGACAGAAAUAAAAUGACUCCCUAGAACACCGUACUGAGAGCCUGUGCUUUGCCAACCCGUAGCUGAGUGAGUGAACUGCCACAGAGCUGAGCCACAGCUCUUGUAUUUUCCAUUUUGCCAAAUUUCACUGCCACAAGUAGUAGUCCUCCAUGUGG